GUGUGAUUUGUGUGUGAGGGUGCUGUGUGUGUGGUGUGUGCUUUGUGUGUGUGGGUGCUGUGUGUGAUUUGUGUGACGGUGCUGAGUGUGAUGAGUGUGAGGGUGCUGAGUGUGAGAGUGCUAAGUGUGAUGUGUGUGAGGGUGCCGUGUGUGAUAGUGCUGAGUGUGAUGUGUGUGAGGGUGCUGAGUGUGAUGUGUGUG